rnacentral:lncRNA from 1 species
UGUCUGCCUCCUGGCGUACGCUCGUUUCUCCGUUGCUAAUGCGGGCGGCGAUCGCUCAGAGCCGGAUUACGGCACGAUUAUGAUCACUAGUUAACAUUUACGGAUUUCUCCCCCACCGGUUCCAGGUAUUGGUUUGUCUCUGCUUUCACCCCCUUGGAAUAUUCCGUCUCUAUUCCCAGGAGGCCCGAGGAAUGUAAUCUUAGAUGCAGACUCAUCUCCAUCAGCCCACCCAGCCCCUUUCAAAAUACGUUUGGAUGUCGUCUUUACUACGAGCUACUCGGUUCUCACUGAAAUCUACAUGGGAAGAGUGUCUGGCAAAACAAAACAAAAAAAUGAUCUUUCCUUGGUUCCCUUAAACAUGUUCCUUGGCGUUUCCUCGAGUUACGGCGUUGGAGAGUAUCUAGGUGCCGUGCAUCGUGGAUCUGUGGGAGAUGAGCCCUUUUGCAUUUUUAUAGGUAUUAAAGAAGAGUAAUGUAUCCUUCCUGUCCCUAUUUAAGGGAAAACAACUGAGCUCACGCCAUCCUCCACUGUUUCCACUUCAUCCAUUAAUAUUCAUACGAUUCAAGCGCUUAGUACAGUGCUCUGCACACAGUAAG